GUUGUAGGGGUGCAGUGGUAGUUUGACUUUAGUUGUAGAGGUGCAGUGGUUAGUUUGUUCACCCCUACAACUAAAGUCAAACUACCACUGCACUCCUACAACU
rnacentral:pre_miRNA from 1 species